GAAUGUUAUCACGGGAGACACACGGCGGGUGCUAACGUCCGUCGUGAAGAGGGAAACAACCCAGACCGCCAGCUAAGGUCCCAAAGUCAUGGUUAAGUGGGAAACGAUGUGGGAAGGCCCAGACAGCCAGGAUGUUGGCUUAGAAGCAGCCAUCAUUUAAAGAAAGCGUAAUAGCUCACUGGUCGAGUCGGCCUGCGCGGAAGAUGUAACGGGGCUAAACCAUGCACCGAAGCUGCGGCAGCGACGCUUAUGCGUUGUUGGGUAGGGGAGCGUUCUGUAAGCCUGCGAAGGUGGCCUGUGAGGGUUGCUGGAGGUAUCAGAAGUGCGAAUGCUGACAUAAGUAACGAUAAAGCGGGUGAAAAGCCCGCUCGCCGGAAGACCAAGGGUUCCUGUCCAACGUUAAUCGGGGCAGGGUGAGUCGACCCCUAAGGCGAGGCCGAAAGGCGUAGUCGAUGGGAAACGGGUUAAUAUUCCCGUACUUGGUGUUACUGCGAAGGGGGGACGGAGAAGGCUAUGUUGGCCGGGCGACGGUUGUCCCGGUUUAAGCGUGUAGGUGUGUGUUCCAGGUAAAUCCGGUUCACUUUAACACUGAGGCGUGACGACGAGGCACUACGGUGCUGAAGCAACAAAUGCCCUGCUUCCAGGAAAAGCCUCUAAGCAUCAGGUAACAUCAAAUCGUACCCCAAACCGACACAGGUGGU
rnacentral:rRNA from 1 species